rnacentral:rRNA from 1 species
AUUGAACGCUGGCGGCAGGCCUAACACAUGCAAGUCGAGCGGUUGAGGUAGCUUGCUACCGAUGCAGCGGCGAACGGGUGAGUAAUACAUGGGAAUCUGCCUGGUAGUGGGGGACAACGUCUCGAAAGGGACGCUAAUACCGCAUACGCCCUACGGGGGAAAGGGGGGGAUCUUCGGACCUCUCGCUAUCAGAUGAGCCCAUGUCAGAUUAGCUAGUUGGUGGGGUAAAGGCUCACCAAGGCGACGAUCUGUAACUGGUCUGAGAGGAUGAUCAGUCACACUGGAACUGAGACACGGUCCAGACUCCUACGGGAGGCAGCAGUGGGGAAUAUUGGACAAUGGGCGCAAGCCUGAUCCAGCCAUGCCGCGUGUGUGAAGAAGGCCUUAGGGUUGUAAAGCACUUUCAGUGGGGAGAAAGGUUAUUCACCUAAUACGUGAGUAAAUUGAUGUUACCCACAGAAGAAGCACCGGCUAACUCCGUGCCAGCCGCCGCCUAA